rnacentral:rRNA from 1 species
GCACCCAACGGGUGGAGCCUGCGGUUUAAUUGGACUCAACGCCGGAAAGCUCACCGGAGACGACAGCGGGAUGAUGGCCAGGCUGAUGACCUUGCUAGACUAGCUGAGAGGAGGUGCAUGGCCGCCGUCAGUUCGUACCGUGAGGCGUCCUGUUAAGUCAGGCAACGAGCGAGACCCGUACCCACAGUUGCCGGCGGCUGCUCCGGCAGGCUGGGUACACUGUGGGGACCGCCUCUGCUAAAGAGGAGGAAGGAGCGGGCGACGGUAGGUCAGUAUGCCCCGAAUUCUCCGGGCUACACGCGGGCUACAAUGGAUGGGACAAUGGGUAUCGACACCGAAAGGUGAAGGCAAUCUCCUAAACCCAUCCUUAGUUCGGAUUGUGGGCUGCAACUCGCCCACAUGAAGCUGGAAUCCGUAGUAAUCGUGUUUCAAAAUAGCACGGUGAAUAUGUCCCUGCUCCUUGCACACACCGCCCGUCAAACCACCCGAGUGAGGUCUUGAUGAAACCGUCGUUUUCUGCGGCGGGUGAAUCUAGGUUUUGCAAGGGGGGUU